UACGAAGGGGGCUAGCGUUGCUCGGAAUCACUGGGCGUAAAGGGCGCGUAGGCGGCUUUAUAAGUCGGGGGUGAAAGCCUGUGGCUCAACCACAGAAUUGCCUUCGAUACUGUAGAGCUUGAGACCGGAAGAGGUAAGUGGAACUGCGAGUGUAGAGGUGAAAUUCGUAGAUAUUCGCAAGAACACCAGUGGCGAAGGCGGCUGUCUGGUCCGGUUCUGACGCUGAGGCGCGAAAGCGUGGGAGCAACAGG
rnacentral:rRNA from 1 species